rnacentral:rRNA from 1 species
UAAUGCUCCAUAGUGGAUAUGUCCUGGAAUGGUAUAUCCUCGAAAGAUCCGUCGCCUUAGGAUGGGACUGCGUCCGAUUAGGUUGUUGGCGGGGUAACGGCCCACCAAGCCAUUGAUCGGUACGGGUUGUGGGAGCAAGAUCCCGGAGAUGGAUUCUGAGACAUGAAUCCAGGCCCUACGGGGCGCAGCAGGCGCGCAAACUUUACAAUGCGAGCAAUCGUGAUAAGGAAACCCUGAGUGCCUGUCGAUGCAGGCUGUUCAUAUAUCUAAAUCAUAUGUGAAGAAAGGGCAGGGCAAGACCGGUGCCAGCCGCCGCGGUAAUACCGGCUGCUCGAGUGAUGGCCACUAUUACUGGGUUUAAAGCGUCCGUAGCUUGACUGUUAGGUCUCUUGGGAAAUCUUCACGCUCAACGUGAAGGCGUCUAAGAGAUACCGGCAGUCUUGGAACUGGGAGAGGUAAACCGUACUUCGGGGGUAGGAGUGAAAUCUUGUAAUCCUCGAGGGACGACCUAUGGCGAAGGCAGUUUACCAAAACAGCUUCGACAGUGAGGGACGAGAGCUGGGGGAACAAACGGGAUUAGAUACCCCCGGUAGUCCCAGCCGUAAACAAUGUGCGUUAGGUGU